rnacentral:rRNA from 1 species
GAAUUUUGCGCAAUGGGCUAACGCCUGACGCAGCAACGCCGCGUGGAGGAUGAAGGUCUUUGGAUUGUAAACUCCUGUCAGCAGGGAAAAAGGGAAGUGACCUAAUACGUCAUUGACUUGAUUGUACCUGCAGAGGAAGCCCCGGCUAACUCUGUGCCAGCAGCCGCGGUAAUACAGAGGGGGCAAGCGUUAUUCGGAAUUAUUGGGCGUAAAGGGCGCGUAGGCGGCUUUUCAAGUGGCGGGUGAAAUCCCUCGGCUUAACCGGGGAACUGCCUGCCAGACUGGAUUGCUUGAGGCCGGGAGAGGUGAGUGGAAUUCCCAGUGUAGCGGUGAAAUGCGUAGAUAUUGGGAGGAACACCAGUGGCGAAGGCGGCUCACUGGACCGGUACUGACGCUGAGGCGCGAAAGCGUGGGGAGCAAACAG